GCACAUGGGAUAUGGCAUGGGCAGCCUGUCAGCAUCCGCGUAUGAUGAGCCUUAGGUGUAAGUCUUUACCCGGAUGAUAUGCAGUACGGAGAAUAAGCCCGGCUACUCAGUCCAGCAGCGCGUAAUACGGAGGGCUAGCGUGUUUCGAAUUACUGGCGUAAGCCCAAGUAGCGACUUUGUAGCUAGAGUGAUAGCCUGAGCCUCAACUCAGAAACUGCCUUUAAGACUGCAUCGCUUGAAUCCAGUAGAGGUGAGUGGAAUUCCGAGUGUAGAGAUGAAUUUGGUAGAUAUUCGUAAGAACACCAGUGGCGAAGGCGGCUCACUGGACUGGUAUUGACGCUGAGGUGCGAAAGCGUGGCGAGCAAACAGGAUUAGAUACCCUGGUAGUCCACGCCGUAAACGAUGAUAACUAGCUGUCCGGGCACAUGGUCUCUGGGUGGCGCAGCUAACGCAUUAAGUAUUCCGCCUGGGGAGUACGGUUGCAAGAUUAAACUCAAAGGAAUGACGGGGGCCUGCACAAGCGUGGAGCAUGUGGUUUAAUUCGAAGCAACGCGCAGAACCUUCCAGCGUUGACAGUCCGGAUACUUCUGGAGACAGAUUCUUCCCUUCGGGGACUGGAACACAGGUGUGCAUGGCGUCGUCAGCUCGGUCGUGAGAUGUUGGGUUAAGUCCCGCAACGAGCGCAACCCUCGCCUUUAGUUACCAUCAUUUAGUUGGGUACUCUAAAGGAACCGCCGGUGAUAAGCCGGAGGAAGGUGGGGAUGACGUCAAGUCCUCAUGGCCCUUACGCGCUGGGCUACACACGUGCUACAAUGGCAGGUACAGUGGGCAGCAAUCCCGCGAGGGUGAGCUAAUCUCCAAAACCUGUCUCAGUUCGGAUUGUUCUCUGCAACUCGAGAGCAUGAAGGCGGAAUCGCUAGUAAUCGCGGAUCAGCAUGCCGCGGUGAAUACGUUCCCAGGCCUUGUACACACCGCCCGUCACACCAUGGGAGUUGGAUUCACCCGAAGGCGUUGCGCCAACCCGUAAGGGAAGCAGGCGACCACGGUGGGUUCAGCGACUGGGGUGAAGUCGUAACAAGGUAGCC
rnacentral:rRNA from 1 species